UCAAGUUAGUAAAUCUUCGUUCAUCAAAGCAACGCAGGACUAAGCUUUAAACAUUGGGUAGGAGAUUUUCUGAGAACAAUAUUCUUAAAGCCUUCUACAGGAAGAAAUGCUACGGCAAGGAAGCUACCGAAUGAUUAUUUUUGCUCUACUAAUCGCCAUAGACUGGGCAAGUUGCAAUGAAGAUGAAAAAAGACAAGUGGACAUAAAAAACUUUCUGAACACAUCAGAGCUUAUUUGGACCUACAACAGCACAAGAGGCUCAACUUUGCUAUGCAGAGUGGACACGAUGCUAAGUAUUUCAAUGAAGAAGAUUGUUUUCGAGCGCUCACAUUUCCUAAAUAAAAGCAGGCGGUGGAAACGAGACUAUCUUGAAGGAAACUUUUCCUUUUGGCAUUUCGAAAACAGGUCCUUAUAACACUAUCAGAGUUGGCCCUGUAGGCUUCAAAUGGAGGAACGAAGAGCUGCUAGUCUAUCAAAGUGAAGAUAACAAGUGUGCAGUCUUCAAGUCAUUCACACUGGGCAGAACUCUUGAUUACUUCUCCGUUGACCUUCGACUGAAGAAUUCUUCGGUAGCUCAAGGCCCAAGUGAAGAGUGUCGGCGAGAAUACAAGAAAAAGCUAAGAAAACGGAAAAGUUACACAUUGUAUUCUUCAGAAUGUCAAAACAACUUAAAAGAAGAUCGAGAAUACGUUUACCAUUACCUCUGAAUAAAGACGGUUGAUUUCACGUUU